rnacentral:rRNA from 1 species
GUGGGGAAUAUUGCACAAUGGGGGAAACCCUGAUGCAGCGACGCCGCGUGAGCGAAGAAGUAUUUCGGUAUGUAAAGCUCUAUCAGCAGGGAAGAAAAAAAUGACGGUACCUGAGUAAGAAGCACCGGCUAAAUACGUGCCAGCAGCCGCGGUAAUACGUAUGGUGCAAGCGUUAUCCGGAUUUACUGGGUGUAAAGGGAGCGUAGGCGGCGCGUUAAGUCUGAUGUGAAAACCCGAGGCUCAACCACGGGAGUGCAUUGGAAACUGGCGGGCUGGAGUGCCGGAGAGGUAAGCGGAAUUCCUAGUGUAGCGGUGAAAUGCGUAGAUAUUAGGAGGAACACCAGUGGCGAAGGCGGCUUACUGGACGGCAACUGACGCUGAGGCUCGAAAGCGUGGGGAGCAAACAGG